CUCGGGAGACAGACAGCGGGUGCUAACGUCCGUUGUCAAGAGGGAAACAACCCAGACCGCCGGCUAAGGUCCCAAAUGAUAGAUUAAGUGGUAAACGAAGUGGGAAGGCACAGACAGCCAGGAUGUUGGCUUAGAAGCAGCCAUCAUUUAAAGAAAGCGUAAUAGCUCACUGGUCGAGUCGUCCUGCGCGGAAGAUGUAACGGGGCUCAAAUCUAUAACCGAAGCUGCGGAUGCCGGUUUACCGGCAUGGUAGGGGAGCGUUCUGUAGGCUGAUGAAGGUGCAUUGUAAAGUGUGCUGGAGGUAUCAGAAGUGCGAAUGUUGACAUGAGUAGCGAUAAAGCGGGUGAAAAGCCCGCUCGCCGAAAGCCCAAGGUUUCCUACGCAACGUUCAUCGGCGUAGGGUAAGUCGGCCCCUAAGGCGAGGCAGAAAUGCGUAGUCGAUGGGAAACAGGUUAAUAUUCCUGUACUUGAUUCAAAUGCGAUGUGGGGACGGAGAAGGUUAGGUUGGCAAGCUGUUGGAAUAGCUUGUUUAAGCCGGUAGGUGGAAGACUUAGGCAAAUCCGGGUUUUCUUAACACCGAGAAGUGAUGACGAGUGUCUACGGACACGAAGCAACCGAUACCACGCUUCCAGGAAAAGCCACUAAGCUUCAGUUUGAAUCGAACCGUACCGCAAACCGACACAGGUGGGCAGGAUGAGAAUUCUAAGGCGCUUGAGAGAACUCGGGAGAAGGAACUCGGCAAAUUGAUACCGUAACUUCGGGAGAAGGUAUGCCCUCUAAGGUUAAGGACUUGCUCCGUAAGCCCCGGAGGGUCGCAGAGAAUAGGUGGCUGCGACUGUUUAUUAAAAACACAGCACUCUGCCAACACGAAAGUGGACGUAUAGGGUGUGACGCCUGCCCGGUGCCGGAAGGUUAAUUGAAGAUGUGCAAGCAUCGGAUCGAAGCCCCGGUAAACGGCGGCCGUAACUAUAACGGUCCUAAGGUAGCGAAAUUCCUUGUCGGGUAAGUUCCGACCCGCACGAAUGGCGUAACGAUGGCCACACUGUCUCCUCCCGAGACUCAGCGAAGUUGAAGUGGUUGUGAAGAUGCAAUCUACCCGCUGCUAGACGGAAAGACCCCGUGAACCUUUACUGUAGCUUUGCAUUGGACUUUGAAGUCACUUGUGUAGGAUAGGUGGGAGGCUUGGAAGCAGAGACGCCAGUCUCUGUGGAGUCGUCCUUGAAAUACCACCCUGGUGUCUUUGAGGUUCUAACCCAGACCCGUCAUCCGGGUCGGGGACCGUGCAUGGUAGGCAGUUUGACUGGGGCGGUCUCCUCCCAAAGCGUAACGGAGGAGUUCGAAGGUUACCUAGGUCCGGUCGGAAAUCGGACUGAUAGUGCAAUGGCAAAAGGUAGCUUAACUGCGAGACCGACAAGUCGGGCAGGUGCGAAAGCAGGACAUAGUGAUCCGGUGGUUCUGUAUGGAAGGGCCAUCGCUCAACGGAUAAAAGGUACUCCGGGGAUAACAGGCUGAUUCCGCCCAAGAGUUCAUAUCGACGGCGGAGUUUGGCACCUCGAUGUCGGCUCAUCACAUCCUGGGGCUGUAGUCGGUCCCAAGGGUAUGGCUGUUCGCCAUUUAAAGUGGUACGUGAGCUGGGUUUAAAACGUCGUGAGACAGUUUGGUCCCUAUCUGCAGUGGGCGUUGGAAGUUUGACGGGGGCUGCUCCUAGUACGAGAGGACCGGAGUGGACGAACCUCUGGUGUACCGGUUGUAACGCCAGUUGCAUAGCCGGGUAGCUAAGUUCGGAAGAGAUAAGCGCUGAAAGCAUCUAAGCGCGAAACUCGCCUGAAGAUGAGACUUCCCUUGCGGUUUAACCGCACUAAAGGGUCGUUCGAGACCAGGACGUUGAUAGGUGGGGUGUGGAAGCGCGGUAACGCGUGAAGCUAACCCAUACUAAUUGCCCGUGAGGCUUGACUCU
rnacentral:rRNA from 1 species